rnacentral:rRNA from 1 species
CUACGGGUCGCAGCAGUGGGGAAUAUUGCACAAUGGAGGAAACUCUGAUGCAGCAACGCCGCGUGGAGGAUGACACUUUUCGGAGCGUAAACUCCUUUUAUAUAGGAAGAUAAUGACGGUACUAUAUGAAUAAGCACCGGCUAACUCCGUGCCAGCAGCCGCGGUAAUACGGAGGGUGCAAGCGUUACUCGGAAUCACUGGGCGUAAAGAGCGUGUAGGCGGGUUAAUAAGUCAGAAGUGAAAUCCUAUGGCUCAACCAUAGAACUGCUUUUGAAACUAUUAACCUAGAGUGUGGGAGAGGUAGAUGGAAUUUCUGGUGUAGGGGUAAAAUCCGUAGAGAUCAGAAGGAAUACCGAUUGCGAAGGCGAUCUACUGGAACAUAACUGACGCUGAGACGCGAAAGCGUGGGGAGCAAACAGGAUUAGAUACCCCGGUAGUC